CUGCCAGUGGUCAAAGCCUCCAACAAAGCUCUACUGAGUGGCUGUAACCUGUCAGAGAGAAUCUGUGAAGCUCUGUCCUCAGUUCUCAGCUCCCAGUCCUCUAGUCUCAGAGAGCUGGACUUGAGUAACAACAAUCUGCAGGAUUCAGGAGGGAAGUUGAUCUCUGAUGGACUGAAGAGUCCACACUGCACACUGGAGACUCUCAGUCUGUCAGGCUGUCUGAUCUCAGAGGAAGGCAGUUCUUCUCUGGCCUCAGCUCUGAGCUCCAACCCCUCCCAUCUGAGAGAGCUGGACCUGAGCUACAAUCAUCCAGGAGACUCAGGAGUGAAGCUACUGUCAGAGGGACUGGAGGAUCCAAACUGGAGACUGGACACUCUCAGGUACAAACACUGAUGAACAAAAAGGAGAUAUUUGUGUAGGAAGUUUUAAAGGAGAACAUCUCCAGGAACUAAAAUGAUGACUUCCUGUUGUUAAUAAUUGAUGUAGUUUGUACACAUCUCUGUCUAUUAAAGGAACUGUCCGUGGUUCAGUUUCAACUCGACAGACAGUUCCAGGACAGGUUUAGCCUAGCUUAGCACAAAUCAAUGUGCUUUCUACGCUGUGAGAAGAGUGUGUGGAUGAAGCAUUACUAUUUCAGCAGACUAGUUAGCUAGAGGUUUAAAAUGUCAGUUGUCGGUGCUGCAUGGCUCAUGUGAUCGAUCAGAGACAUAUACUGACAUCCAGACCAAUUAUUUCUCUAAGUUCCUCUUGUGCUGGGAGAGUACCGGCUCUAAGUUCAAAAAGUCCCUCAAAACGCUCUUUCCUAGUC